AACACAAAAACUGGCCACUCCACAACAUGCGCGCCAGCAAACGCCAACACAGACGAAGUCCUCCAUUCUGUAGUUUGUGGUUUGUUGUACUUUGUCUGUCAAAUUGUCAAUGUGUGUAUGUAUUUUCUGAAUGUUUUUGAUUCGUGGCGUGGUUUCUAGUUCACGAGAUGCAAUAGAAGUGUACACCGAUGGAUCCAAAACAAAAACCGGCACAGGAGCAGGAGCCUACUGCCAAGAACUAAACAUGAAAAUACUCGAUGAACGUUGUGGUGUUAGAAUACGAAGAGAGUAUGCAGAGGAAUGCUGUAGAAAUCACGCAACUUCAAGAGCAGCUCAGGAUGCAGGCUGCGACAUAUGACGUCAAUAUUGACACAUAUCGUAAGCUUUUCACCAGCCACCACGAUUACUUAUGGACGAAUCAAUUUUGAGUCAAUCUUCUGCACAUUAUGCUGAGGGGAUUUAGUUCCUCAGGGCUUGUGGGAGCCCGGGUACAGGUUAUUUGACCGCCGCCUGUUGCUCGGCGUUGUCGGCUCGUUUGGCACCACCCAGGGGACACGUGUAGGGUGGGUCUUAGGAUAAGAUG